rnacentral:rRNA from 1 species
GAUGAACGCUGGCGGCGUGCCUAAUACAUGCAAGUCGAGCGAACGGACGAGAAGCUUGCUUCUCUGAUGUUAGCGGCGGACGGGUGAGUAACACGUGGAUAACCUACCUAUAAGACUGGGAUAACUUCGGGAAACCGGAGCUAAUACCGGAUAAUAUUUUGAACCGCAUGGUUCAAAAGUGAAAGACGGUCUUGCUGUCACUUAUAGAUGGAUCCGCGCUGCAUUAGAUAGUUGGUAAGGUAACGGCUUACCAAGGCAACGAUGCAUAGCCGACCUGGGAGGGGGGAAGGACAAAAUGGAAGGGAGAAACGGGCCAGACUACUAAGGGAGGGAGCAGGAGGGAAGAUUCCGGAAUGGGCGAAAGGCUGAAGGAGGAAAGCCGCGGGAGUGAUGAAGGUCUUCGGAUCGGAAAACUCUGUUAUUAGGGAAGAAAAAAAGUGGAAGUAAAUGUGCACAAAUUGACGGUAACUAAACAGAAAGCCACGGCUAACUACGUG